rnacentral:rRNA from 1 species
GAUGAACGCUGGCGGCGUGCUUAACACAUGCAAGUCGAACGAUGAUGCCCAGCUUGCUGGGUGGAUUAGUGGCGAACGGGUGAGUAACACGUGAGUAACCUGCCCUUGACUCUGGGAUAAGCCUGGGAAACUGGGUCUAAUACCGGAUACGACCAUCUGGCGCAUGUCAUGGGGGUGGAAAGCUUUUGUGGUUUUGGAUGGACGAGCGGCCUAUCAGCUUGUUGGUGGGGUAAUGGCCUACCAAGGCGACGACGGGUAGCCGGCCUGAGAGGGGGACCGGCCACACUGGGACGGAGACACGGCCCAGACUCCUACGGGAGGCAGCAGUGGGGAAUAUUGCACAAUGGGCGGAAGCCUGAUGCAGCGACGCCGCGUGAGGGAUGACGGCCUUCGGGUGGGAAGCCUCUUGCAGUAGGGAAGAAGCGAGAGUGACGGUACCUGCAGAAGAAGCGAUGGCUAACUACGGU